UUCUACUGUCCAGAACAUCCCUACUAAUCCCGUCUGAUCUUGGAAGAUAAGCAGGGUCAGGCCUUGUUAGUACUUGGACAGGAGACUGGUUGGGAUUCUUCCAUGAUUAAGAAU
rnacentral:rRNA from 1 species